CGGAAGCGCCACCGAACCCCCCGCCUAUAAAAAGCAGCGUCGCACCAUGCUAAUCCCAACUAAGCUCACGCAAACACAACUACUCCCCAGUGGCCAACAACUCGGAACCUCCCGGACCAAGUUAGCAAUGGCAAAGCGCCUCGCCGUCGCGCUCCUGCUGCUGGUCCUGCUCGCGUCCAGCGACGCCGGUGCUGCUGCCCGUCCUGCUAAUGGCGUCGGCGAGAAGAAGGCUGUGGUGCCCGGGCUGCCGGUGGACCUCCCUGGGCUCCCUGGGCUGCCUGGGCUCCCUGGGCUCCCUGGCCUGCCGGGGCUCCCUGGGCUCCCUCCCCUUCCCAAAUCCACCGCCACCAACAAGUCUCCAUGAUCGUCUGUGGUGUACGUGCUGGCAUACAUGCAAGCUGAAUCUGAACUACUUGUGGGUUUAGACUUGCAGCUAGCACGUACCGGCCGGAAGAAAAUCACCGGCGUUUCGCUCAAGCGUCUGCAUGUAUCAACUAUCCUGUCGUGUGUACUGUCGUCAGUAUUUCCUUUCUGUUAAGCUGUCGUAUGUAUUUCCUUUCAGUCCACGUAAGUAUUUUCCCUACUUCACAGCUUGCUUGAUGUGCUGCAUGCAUCAUCAACGGAAUAAAUAAAGGAUUUGUCGGUGUGAUCGCCUUCUUUUGGAUAGACAGAUCAACACAUUGCAUCAUUGGUAUACUACUUUGUCACAUUGAUCACAAGUCCCACCAAAGUCCAGAGUUGUUCCAUCUAUUAUAUACUUAUACUCCAUCCGUUCCAAAAGUUGAGUCAUCUAGUUUAAAACGAAGGAAGUAAAAAACAAUAGAAAAUGAACGGUUAAGAUUUAUCCACAGAAAGUUCAGAUAUUUAAAGGUUGAGAUUUGUCAAAUGAAAACUCAUGACAUAGCCAGGUCCUAUGCCAUUAGCAAUAAAAACAGUUUGCCCGAUUGAAACUUUUCUUUUGGACACAGUACAGAAGCAGGCGCUCAUACAUAUGAGCAUACACUCACCUCUAUGAACACA
rnacentral:lncRNA from 1 species